UUCUUAAAUAAAUGGGAACAAGUUUACAAUGUGCCCCAAUGAUUAGAUAUUGUUUUCCUAUUUAAUUCACUGAAAAAUAUCAUUUGGGUAUAAGAAAUGUAAAUAGCUAUCAAGAAUCAGGUCAAGCUUUUCUAAAAAAAUUAUAGAUUAAAAUUCUGCUUUUGUGGAAACAUAUUAAAGAAUAUAUUAAAUAAGUAGGAACAAAAGCUCCCUAGCACACUAACAUAAUCAAAUUUGAGUAUUAUUAUCAAGUUGGCUUUAGCCAGAUCCUAGCAGGUAGCUAGUUUAUACAAGUUACUCCAAAAAUGAAAAAGAAAUAUGCAUAUCCUGACUUUGUAAGAAGCUGCCUGUUAGAAUCUAACUAGCCUUUUUUUCUCUUUUAAGACAUUUUGGAUCCAAGGACCAAUAGGUUGACUCAUUCACUAGUGGAGAGUAUCAAAGAAAGAAAAAUUUAAAAACUAAACAACAGAUUUGACAAGCUGCCUGCCAUCUGAAAGUGAGAAAGAAUGUGAUAUUAAUUGAGCAUCUUCUGAGCAAGCUAUAUGCUGUACAUAUGCUUUUCUUCAAAACAUCCCUUCAAGAAAAUGAUACAUCUAUUUCAGAAUGUGACAGAAAAACACCAAUAGGCAGGAAAGAGGGGGCGGAAGGAAUUCACCGUACUCUCCAGUACCCCAGUUGCUGGCUGGUUAAUGAAGCAUUCUUCUCAUCAAGCUGC
rnacentral:lncRNA from 1 species